AUGUCUGAGUUGUUCAACUUCAAUCCUUUGGUCUGCAUUCUCAUGCCUGCAGAUGGUUGUUUGCCUUAUUUUUUGCUAAGUUUUCACUUUUUGCUUCUGGAAUUAUGUUUAUAGGUUCAAGGGAUUGAAACAGUCACCACUUAUGAUUCGAAUACUGGAGAAUUUGUUGUUAGUACUCCUUGUGAAUCAGCUCAGAAGUAUUGGAUUGGAGCAGCAGCUAAUCAUGCCACACACUCAAUAGUCUUUUCACAACUCAGUAUUUCCGGGAACAACCAAGGUGUCCAUGCUCUUAUAGCCCAUAUCAGGAUGAAAAUGGUAAUGUCUGUCCAGGAGUUCGUAUUGCCGAUUGUGGUCACAAAAUUGGCUUAAAUGGUGUUGAUAAUGGUCGAAUAUGGUAAUCAUGUUUUUAGUUUUCAGUUUAAUUGACUAUUCAUGUCCAUUACAUAUUUCUGUAAGUUCAAUUCCGUGGCUUAGAGGAUUUAGAAAUGUGUUAACAUGUUUGACAACAUUCGAAUUCCAAGGGAAAAUUUGUUAAAUUCAGUUGCCGAUGUUUCCCCGGAUGGGAAAUAUCUGAGUGCAAUAAAAGACCCAGAUCAGGUAGUUCUAUUUCCGGUUGAACAUAUGUUUAGCUUUUAUUUGACAAAAAAAAUGUUCUCUCCUUUUAUUGACACUUUGUUUCUUUCGUUCAGAGAUUUGCAGCAUUCAUGGCUCCAUUGACAUGGGGUCGUGUAGCUAUAGCAGUCAGUGCCGUUUACUCUUCACAGAUAAGCAUAGCAAUAGCCAUAAGGUACUCAUUGACAAGGCCUAUUGCUUGACUACCCUAGUCAUCAACAGCGGCGUUUGCCUCUUCUUGCAAAAACGUAAGAAUUUUGUGGCAUUGUGGUGUCUCAGUUUAAUUGGACUUAUUGCAAUAACAGCUUUUUCACAAGUCAAAUUGAUACUGUCUGGUUUUUCAUGUCUAGGAAAUACUUCUUGUUCUCAUUGUUGUUAAUAAUUAAAACAGCCAAGUUAAUAAUGUAUCUGCUA